GUUAAGCGACUAAGCGUACACGGUGGAUGCCCUGGCAGUCAGAGGCGAUGAAGGACGUGCUAAUCUGCGAUAAGCGUCGGUAAGGUGAUAUGAACCGUUAUAACCGGCGAUUUCCGAAUGGGGAAACCCAGUGUGAUUCGUCACACUAUCAUUAACUGAAUCCAUAGGUUAAUGAGGCGAACCGGGGGAACUGAAACAUCUAAGUACCCCGAGGAAAAGAAAUCAACCGAGAUUCCCCCAGUAGCGGCGAGCGAACGGGGAGCAGCCCAGAGCCUGAAUCAGUGUGUGUGUUAGUGGAAGCGUCUGGAAAGGCGCGCGAUACAGGGUGACAGCCCCGUACACAAAAAUGCACAUACUGUGAGCUCGAUGAGUAGGGCGGGACACGUGGUAUCCUGUCUGAAUAUGGGGGGACCAUCCUCCAAGGCUAAAUACUCCUGACUGACCGAUAGUGAACCAGUACCGUGAGGGAAAGGCGAAAAGAACCCCGGCGAGGGGAGUGAAAAAGAACCUGAAACCGUGUACGUACAAGCAGUGGGAGCACGCUUAGGCGUGUGACUGCGUACCUUUUGUAUAAUGGGUCAGCGACUUAUAUUCUGUAGCAAGGUUAACCGAAUAGGGGAGCCGAAGGGAAACCGAGUCUUAACUGGGCGUUAAGUUGCAGGGUAUAGACCCGAAACCCGGUGAUCUAGCCAUGGGCAGGUUGAAGGUUGGGUAACACUAACUGGAGGACCGAACCGACUAAUGUUGAAAAAUUAGCGGAUGACUUGUGGCUGGGGGUGAAAGGCCAAUCAAACCGGGAGAUAGCUGGUUCUCCCCGAAAGCUAUUUAGGUAGCGCCUCGUGAAUUCAUCUCCGGGGGUAGAGCACUGUUUCGGCAAGGGGGUCAUCCCGACUUACCAACCCGAUGCAAACUGCGAAUACCGGAGAAUGUUAUCACGGGAGACACACGGCGGGUGCUAACGUCCGUCGUGAAGAGGGAAACAACCCAGACCGCCAGCUAAGGUCCCAAAGUCAUGGUUAAGUGGGAAACGAUGUGGGAAGGCCCAGACAGCCAGGAUGUUGGCUUAGAAGCAGCCAUCAUUUAAAGAAAGCGUAAUAGCUCACUGGUCGAGUCGGCCUGCGCGGAAGAUGUAACGGGGCUAAACCAUGCACCGAAGCUGCGGCAGCGACGCUGAUGCGUUGUUGGGUAGGGGAGCGUUCUGUAAGCCUGUGAAGGUGUGCUGUGAGGCAUGCUGGAGGUAUCAGAAGUGCGAAUGCUGACAUAAGUAACGAUAAAGCGGGUGAAAAGCCCGCUCGCCGGAAGACCAAGGGUUCCUGUCCAACGUUAAUCGGGGCAGGGUGAGUCGACCCCUAAGGCGAGGCCGAAAGGCGUAGUCGAUGGGAAACAGGUUAAUAUUCCUGUACUUGGUGUUACUGCGAAGGGGGGACGGAGAAGGCUAUGUUGGCCGGGCGACGGUUGUCCCGGUUUAAGCGUGUAGGCUGGUUUUCCAGGCAAAUCCGGAAAAUCAAGGCUGAGGCGUGAUGACGAGGCACUACGGUGCUGAAGCAACAAAUGCCCUGCUUCCAGGAAAAGCCUCUAAGCAUCAGGUAACAUCAAAUCGUACCCCAAACCGACACAGGUGGUCAGGUAGAGAAUACCAAGGCGCUUGAGAGAACUCGGGUGAAGGAACUAGGCAAAAUGGUGCCGUAACUUCGGGAGAAGGCACGCUGAUAUGUAGGUGAAGCGACUUGCUCGUGGAGCUGAAAUCAGUCGAAGAUACCAGCUGGCUGCAACUGUUUAUUAAAAACACAGCACUGUGCAAACACGAAAGUGGACGUAUACGGUGUGACGCCUGCCCGGUGCCGGAAGGUUAAUUGAUGGGGUCAGCGCAAGCGAAGCUCUUGAUCGAAGCCCCGGUAAACGGCGGCCGUAACUAUAACGGUCCUAAGGUAGCGAAAUUCCUUGUCGGGUAAGUUCCGACCUGCACGAAUGGCGUAAUGAUGGCCAGGCUGUCUCCACCCGAGACUCAGUGAAAUUGAACUCGCUGUGAAGAUGCAGUGUACCCGCGGCAAGACGGAAAGACCCCGUGAACCUUUACUAUAGCUUGACACUGAACAUUGAGCCUUGAUGUGUAGGAUAGGUGGGAGGCUUUGAAGUGUGGACGCCAGUCUGCAUGGAGCCGGCCUUGAAAUACCACCCUUUAAUGUUUGAUGUUCUAACGUUGACCCGUGAUCCGGGUUGCGGACAGUGUCUGGUGGGUAGUUUGACUGGGGCGGUCUCCUCCUAAAGAGUAACGGAGGAGCACGAAGGUUGGCUAAUCCUGGUCGGACAUCAGGAGGUUAGUGCAAUGGCAUAAGCCAGCUUGACUGCGAGCGUGACGGCGCGAGCAGGUGCGAAAGCAGGUCAUAGUGAUCCGGUGGUUCUGAAUGGAAGGGCCAUCGCUCAACGGAUAAAAGGUACUCCGGGGAUAACAGGCUGAUACCGCCCAAGAGUUCAUAUCGACGGCGGUGUUUGGCACCUCGAUGUCGGCUCAUCACAUCCUGGGGCUGAAGUAGGUCCCAAGGGUAUGGCUGUUCGCCAUUUAAAGUGGUACGCGAGCUGGGUUUAGAACGUCGUGAGACAGUUCGGUCCCUAUCUGCCGUGGGCGCUGGAGAACUGAGGGGGGCUGCUCCUAGUACGAGAGGACCGGAGUGGACGCAUCACUGGUGUUCGGGUUGUCAUGCCAAUGGCACUGCCCGGUAGCUAAAUGCGGAAGAGAUAAGUGCUGAAAGCAUCUAA
rnacentral:rRNA from 1 species